AUGGUGAAAGUCCCGAAAACCCGUCGGACAUUCUGUAAGAAGUGUGACAAGCACCAACCUCACAAAGUGAGACAGUACAAGGACGGCAAGGAUUCUCUGUACGCCCAGGGGAAGUGGCGUUAUGACAGGAAGCAGAGUGGCUAUGGUGGGCAGACUAAGCCGAUUUUCCGGAAAAAGGCUAAAACUACAAAGAAGAUUGUGCUGGGGCUUGAGUGCAUUCAGCCCAACUGCAGAUCCAAGAGAAUGCUGGCUACCGAAAGAUGCAAGCAUUUUGAACUGGGAGGAGAUAAGAAGAGAAAGGGCCAAAUGAUCCAGUUC
rnacentral:lncRNA from 1 species